UACGGAGGGAGCUAGCGUUGUUCGGAAUUACUGGGCGUAAAGCGCACGUAGGCGGCUAUUCAAGUCGGGGGGGAAAGCCCGGGGCUCAACCCCGGAACUGCCCUCGAAACUAGGUAGCUAGAAUCUUGGAGAGGUCAGUGGAAUUCCGAGUGUAGAGGUGAAAUUCGUAGAUAUUCGGAAGAACACCAGUGGCGAAGGCGACUGACUGGACAAGUAUUGACGCUGAGGUGCGAAAGCGUGGGGAGCAAACAGG
rnacentral:rRNA from 1 species